rnacentral:tRNA from 2 species
CAAGGAGUAGUUUAAAUUAGAAUUCCAGCUUUGGGUGUUGGAGGUGGGGCUAAUGCCUUCUCCUUGA